UACGAAGGGGGCUAGCGUUGUUCGGAAUUACUGGGCGUAAAGCGUGCGCAGGCGGCUUCUCAAGUCAGGGGUGAAAGCCCAGAGCUCAACUCUGGAAUUGCCUUUGAGACUGAGUGGCCUGAGUACGAGAGAGGUGAGUGGAAUUCCCAGUGUAGAGGUGAAAUUCGUAGAUAUUGGGAAGAACACCGGUGGCGAAGGCGGCUCACUGGCUCGUAACUGACGCUCAUGCACGACAGCGUGGGGAUCAAACAGG
rnacentral:rRNA from 1 species